rnacentral:rRNA from 1 species
AGGGAGUUUUGAUUCAUGGCUCAGGAUGAACGCUAGCGGCGGGCUUAACACAUGCAAGUCGAGGGGUAACAGGAAGAGCUUGCUCUUUGCUGACGACCGGCGAACGGGUGCGUAACGCGUAUGCAAUCUACCUCUAACUGGAGCAUAGCCCAGAGAAAUCUGGAUUAAUACUCCAUAGUAUUGUUCUUUCGCAUGUUAGAACAAUUAAAAUUUCGAUGGUUAGAGAUGAGCAUGCGUCCUAUUAGUUUGUUGGUGAGGUAACGGCUCACCAAGGCUACGAUAGGUAGGGGGCCUGAGAGGGUGACCCCCCACACUGGUACUGAGACACGGACCAGACUCCUACGGGAGGCAGCAGUGAGGAAUAUUGGUCAAUGGACGAAAGUCUGAACCAGCCACGCCGCGUGAAGGAUGAAUGCCCUAUGGGUUGUAAACUUCUUUUGUAUGGGAAGAAACCUCCGGACGUGUCCGGAGCUGACGGUACCAUACGAAUAAGCACCGGCUAACUCCGUGCCAGCAGCCGCGGUAAUACGGAGGGUGCAAGCGUUAUCCGGAAUUAUUGGGUUUAAAGGGUGCGUAGGCGGGAUGAUAAGUCAGUGGUGAAAUCUUACAGCUUAACUGUAAAACUGCCAUUGAUACUAUCAUUCUUGAAUACAAUUGAAGUGGGCGGAAUGUGUCAUGUAGCGGUGAAAUGCUUAGAUAUGACACAGAACACCUAUUGCGAAGGCAGCUCACUAAGUUGUUAUUGACGCUGAGGCACGAAAGCG